rnacentral:sRNA from 1 species
CAUGCCACUGUGCUAAAUCCUCCCUUCUUCAAGUUGUUUUAGUUAAGUGAUUGUCACAGCAAUGAGAAGUAAGGAACACCUCUGACCAUGUUCCCUUCUCUCCUGAAGGCAGCAGGAAGACUCUUGGGUCAAGGCUGGCAUGACCAAUUCUCCUGGAAAGACUUCGACAGAGAGGCUUUUCCAUUCCAAAAGAUGGUUCUCAAGGACAAAAAGGGAGUGGGGGAACUAUUACCUUAAAGCCAAACUCAUUCAUUUCUAAUAUGGCAAAAGAAAAUAAAAGCCAGGAAGAUCUCAUUCAUAAAUUAUGCCUGUUCUAUGACUUUCUGCCAAGCAAGUGAGUGACUGCUCCAGUGAUAAAGAAUAUUCUAGAGGCCAGAGACUUGGAAAUGAAUGAUUAUAUAUCGAGGGCCUUUCUUUAGCCUCUACCUGCUUUUGAAGCAGACACACACAGACACACACACAGAUGCAGACACAUGUGUACACAUAUGCAUGUGCACACACACACACACACACACACACAACUGUGCACAGCAAGCAUGCAACGCACACCUAUAAACACACAGGCACAGAUAUAUGUGCUUACUCCCCCCAGGAAACUCUUGCCAGACCCACGGCCUCCUUCUUCCUGUUAAUUUAGAUUUGUUACACCCAGGGUCUAUUUUGGCUGAUGUUUUACUCUGACAGUCUCCCUUUAGAGGGCUUUGAAAGAUUCCAGGAAGCUGGAGCAGACCAGAGCAUGGACGCUGGAAAGUAACGUAGAAGACGUCUUGGAUGAAUGAUUGCAGCAGCCCUGCAGCCCUCAGAACAUGCUCCUCAGGGGGAACUGUCAUCUCAGCUCCUGGGUGGCCUGCUUUCUUCUCUAGAGGAGAGCCAGUCUACAGACUUGGACCCUGGUCCUCACUGGGGAUGCUCUGGCUUUAGGCCAUUGGCUGCUUCACUCUCUCUGCCAAGCUCAUACUCCCUGGAUGGUUCUCUCAGACUUGCAAGGAUCAACAACAACAACAACAACAACAACAACAACAAC